rnacentral:rRNA from 1 species
ACGCUCGACACCUACGGUAGGCAGCAGUCGGGAAUAUUGCGCAAUGGAGGAAACUCUGACGCAGUGACGCCGCGUAUAGGAAGAAGGUUUUCGGAUUGUAAACUAUUGUCGUUAGGGAGGAGAAAGGACAGUACCUAAGGAGGAAGCUCCGGCUAACUACGUGCCGGCAGCCGCGGUAAUCUGAGCGGGCUGGCAAGGC